CCCUAACGCCAUAGUGUUCCUUUAAGGUUGAUUUCACUAUCCAAAAAAUAAUGCCCAGAUAAUUGUAUUUUAAAUUUACAUUGAGAAAAAUGGAGACUUUAGCUUAAAAUAUUGAUUGCAAAGAAAAUCUUUUGUAAGAAAAACUUUAUUGUUAAUUAAAGCCUCAGAAUCUCUAAUUAUCAAUUUAACACCUUAAAUACAUUGUUUAAUACACUGAAGCCCAAAGAAAUACAUUUCUCAGCUGUGGUGCUGCCGUAGAGACCACAAUUUAUGUAAAAUACAGAUUAGGGACAGCGCACAUGUAAAAGUAUAGUUUACAAUUUUACAAGGCUUCCUAAAAUCACCCAUCUCAGCAAACAAAAUUGGGGAUUCAGUUACACCAUAGGGCAAUAUCGCAUUAAGACCACCACAAUGCCACAGUACUUCAAUGUACACUCAUUUUAACAUGGGAGACAUUAAAUACGAUUAGUGCUAAGUGAACUAAAAUGUGUUUAAUUAAUCUAUUAUAAAAGCAUUAUGAAUAUAUAUAAUGCAAAAUUAAUGUGAUAAAAAAUACUAAAAAAAUACAGUGUCACAACUAUUCCAUUAUAGUGAUAGUGUUUGAGUUAUACACUAACUAUACAUGUCAUAUAUUUGCUCUAUAAAAAUAAAAAUUACAAUUAAAGUGACGUCGCUAUCCAAAAAAAACUUUUUUAAAUGUUAUACUUUCUUGGGUUCACCUUAAAAGGGGCAUCUUAAGCUGGGAGAUGGGGCAAAGUAGGGAAUACAUUGACUUAUGAACAAGUCUGAGGUUGAGAAAAGGUGAAGCUCUGCCCUCAAGUGAUGGCUGUGGGAUUCUGAGAUUGUCUACUGAUCCUCCAGAAACUUCAAAGGUGUACUCUCGUUCAUGCGUGAGAGUACAGCACUGAUGAAAAAUCUGGCAACUAAAGCAUCAGGAGCUGAAGAGGACCUGAAGGAUGAAGAUAGCAGCGAGGACUUGAGGUACAGUUGUGCUAAAAAGUUUGCAUACCCUGGCAGAAAUUGUGAAAUGUUGGCAUUGAUUUUGAAAAUAUGAUUAAUCAUGCAAAAAAAAAAGUAUUUUAUUCUAGAAUAGUGAUCAUAUGAAGCCAUUUAUUAUCACAUAGUUUGGCUCCUUUUUAAAUCAUAAUGAUAACAGAAAUCACGAAAAUGGCCCUGAUCAAAAAUUUACCGUAUAUACUCGAGUAUAAGCCGACCCGAAUAUAAGCCGAGGCCCCUAAUUUUACCCCAAAAAACUGGGAAAACGUAUUGAUUCGAGUAUAAGACUAGGGUGGAAAAUGCAGCAGCUACUGGUAAAUUUCUAAAUAAAAUUAGAUCCUAAAAAAAUUAUAUUAAUUGAAUAUUUAUUUACAGUGUGUGUAUAUGAUGAAUGCAGAGUGUGUGUAUGAGUGCAGUGUGUGUAUGAGUGCAGUGUGUGUGUAUGAGUGCAGUGUGUGUGUAUGAGUGCAGUGUGUGUGUGUGAAUGCAGUGUGUGUAUAUGAGUGCAGUGUGUGUGUGAUGCAGUGUGUGUUUGUGUUGCAGAGCCUUGGUGGGGGGUGGGCAUUUUUAUAAAUAAAAAAAAUAUUUUAAUUUUUUGUUAUAUUAUUAUUUUUUUU